rnacentral:tRNA from 1 species
GCGGGUGUAGCUCAAUGGUAGAGUUCUGACUUGUAAUCAGCAGGGUGUAGGUUCGAUUCCUAUCACCAGCUCCA